rnacentral:ncRNA from 1 species
GUAUAGGUGAUAGAAAUUUUACCCUGGCGCAAUAGACACAGUACCGUAAGGGAAAGAUGAAAAAAGACCAACCAAGCACAAAACAGCAAGGACAUACCCCUGUACCUUCUGCAUAAUGGAUUAACUAGAGACAACUUCACAAAGAGAACUAAAGCCAAAAUCCCCAAAACCAGACGAGCUACCCAGAAACAGCUAAAGAGCACACCCAUCUAUGUAGCAAAAUAGUGGGAAGAUUUAUGGAUAGAGGUGACAAGCCUGCCGAGCCUGGUGAUAGCUGGUUAUCCAAGAUAGAAUCUUAGUUCAACUUUAAAUUUACCUACAGAAUUACCUAAUCCCCUUGUAAACUUAAUUGUUAGUCUAAAGAGGGACAGUUCUUUAGACACUAGGAAAAAACCUUGCAUAGAGAGUAAAAAUUCAAUCUCCGUAGUUGACCCAAAAGCAGCCAUCAAUUAAGAAAGCGUUCAAGCUCAACAUCAAACACCCAAAAAGUCUCAAACAUUCUGCUGAACUCCUCACAUCACAUUGGAUUAAUCUAUUAUUUUAUAGAAGCAAUAAUGUUAAUAUAAGUAACAUGAACAACUUUCUCCAUUGCAUAAGCCUACAUCAGACCGAAAAACUUCACCGAUACUUAACAGCCUAAUAUUAACAAAUAUAAACAAAACCAAUACUACUCAUACUGUUAACCCAACAUAGGCAUGCUUCUAAGGAAAGGUUAAAAAAAGUAAAAGGAACUCGGCAAACUUAACCCCGCCUGUUUACCAAAAACAUCACCUCUAGCACUACCAGUAUUAGAGGCACCGCCUGACCAGUGACACAUGUUCAACAGCCUUGGUACCCUGACCGUGCAAAAGUAGCAUAAUCACUUGUUCCUUAAAUAGGGACUUGUAUGAAUGGCACCACGAGGGUUCAACUGUCUCUUACUUUUAACUUGUGAAAUUGACCUGCCCGUGAAGAGGCGGACAUAAGAAAUAAGACGAGAAGACCCUAUGGAGCUUCAAUUUACUAAUGCAAUAAAAAUCAUACAAAUCUGUGGAUUUUAAAUUACUGCACCUGUAUUAGAAAUUUUGGUUGGGGUGACCUCAGAGCAUAAUCCAACCUCCAAACAACCUAUGCUAAGGCUACACCAGCCAAAGCGAAUCAAUAUGCAUAACUGACCCAAUAACUUGACCAAUGGAACAAGUUACCCUAGGGAUAACAGCGCAAUCCUAUUCUAGAGUCCAUAUCGACAAUAGGGUUUACGACCUCGAUUUUGGAUCAGGACAUCCCUUUUUUUUUUUUUUUUUUGCGACAGAGUCUUGCUCAGUCGCCCAGGAUCUCUGCUCACUGCAAGCUCUGCCUCCUGGGUUCACACCAUUCUCCUGCCUCAGCCUCCUGAGUAGCUGGGACUACAGGCGCCUGCCACCACGCCCGGCUAAUUUUUUUGCAUUUUUUUUAGUAGAGACGGGGUUUCACCGUGUUAGCCAGGAUGGUCUCAAUCUCCUGACCUCGUGAUCUGCCCUC